rnacentral:rRNA from 1 species
GACGAACGCUGGCGGCGUGCUUAACACAUGCAAGUCGAACGGUAAGGCCCUUCGGGGUACACGAGUGGCGAACGGGUGAGUAACACGUGGGUGAUCUGCCCUGCACUUCGGGAUAAGCCUGGGAAACUGGGUCUAAUACCGGAUAGGACUCCUGGCUUCAUGGUUGGGGGUGGAAAGCUUUUGCGGUGUGGGAUGGGCCCGCGGCCUAUCAGCUUGUUGGUGGGGUAAUGGCCUACCAAGGCGACGACGGGUAGCCGGCCUGAGAGGGUGACCGGUCACACUGGGACUGAGAUACGGCCCAGACUCCUACGGGAGGCAGCAGUGGGGAAUAUUGCACAAUGGGCGCAAGCCUGAUGCAGCGACGCUGCGUGAGGGAUGACGGCCUUCGGGUUGUAAACCUCUUUCAGCUAUGACGAAGCGCAAGUGACGGUAGUAGCAGAAGAAGGACCGGCCAACUUCGUGCCAGCCGCCGCAGUAA